UUGUAGGGACUCCGGUCCCCUCAAGAUGCAACCCGUGCCUUUUUUGUAGCCCGUAACGUUUCCUCGGCAGCCCCGCUGCCAGCGAGGACCCCCCCAAACCAAACCUGCAAUCUCAGUAAAAAAUUCAGAAACCCCCCAAAAUUUA
rnacentral:misc_RNA from 1 species